rnacentral:rRNA from 1 species
UACGGGGGGGGCAAGCGUUGUUCGGAAUUACUGGGCGUAAAGGGCUCGUAGGUGGCCAACUAAGUCAGACGUGAAAUCCCUCAGCUUAACUGGGGAACUGCGUCUGAUACUGGAUGGCUUGAGUUUGGGAGAGGGAUGCGGAAUUCCAGGUGUAGCGGUGAAAUGCGUAGAUAUCGGAAGGAACAUCAGUGGCGAAAGCGGCUUCCUGGACCAGUACCGACGUUCAGGCACGAAAGCGUGGGGAGCAAACAGG